GCAGACGCCAACGGGUGCGCGCACAAGCAACAUGGCGAACGUACCUGCCGGUUUGCUUCGGACCUUUCUCUUCGGGAGCGGUCGAGUACUGACAAGAAACACCCGCUUAAACUCAGGGAAUGCGAAAGGACCGAUUCUGAGUAGAAAUGUCGUGACUUCAACAUCGGGUGCAAUACUCCCCAAACCAGAUAAGGCCCCGUUUGGCCUAACGCGCAUAACCGUGGUGGUGGUCCCGUUCCUGUACAUGGGCAUGCUGCUCAGCAAGCACUUCGCUGCCGUGCUGGAGGAGAACGACAUCUUCGUUCCCGACAACGAUGACGACGACGACUGAACCGGUUCGUGAGCGCGCCCUGGACUGUCCUUUGCCUUACAAAGAUCCAGAAGGCCUGCUAUGUGGUUGGACAAACGAGUCAAGGAUGAGGCUUGCAUUCGACCCUCCGCAAGAUCAGUGCCAUAAUGGAUGAGUCCAUCACAUUGUUUACAUAGCCUCCUCCUAUGCAUUGCCUGAUUCCAAACUGUCCUUUAAAUGUAAGGAAAACUGCUCUCCUCACCCGAGUUAGCAACGACAGUUGCGCCGUUUAACUAAUAUAACUCACUUGUGCUGGCUCUUUCCUUUUCUUUUUUCUUUUUUAACUUUCUCAUAAGAAAACAUGGAAUUAAAAUAAUUUAUUUUAAAUA